rnacentral:rRNA from 1 species
UACAGAGGUCUCAAGCGUUGUUCGGAUUCAUUGGGCGUAAAGGGUGCGUAGGCGGCGCGGUAAGUCGGGUGUGAAAUUUCGAGGCUUAACUUCGAAACUGCAUUCGAUACUGCCGUGCUUGAGGACUGGAGAGGAGACUGGAAUUUACGGUGUAGCGGUGAAAUGCGUAGAUAUCGUAAGGAAGACCAGUGGCGAAGGCGGGUCUCUGGACAGUUCCUGACGUGAGGCACGAAGGCCAGGGGGAGCAAAACGGGG